GAUGAACGCUGGCGGCGUGCUUAACACAUGCAAGUCGAACGAAGACAUCUGAGUGCUUGCACUUGGAUGGACUGAGUGGCGGACGGGUGAGUAACGCGUGGGUAACCUGCCUUAUACAGGGGGAUAACAGUUGGAAACGACUGCUAAUACCGCAUAGGCGCACGGUAUCGCAUGAUACAGUGUGAAAAACUCCGGUGGUAUAAGAUGGACCCGCGUCUGAUUAGCUAGUUGGUGAGGUAACGGCCCACCAAGGCGACGAUCAGUAGCCGGCCUGAGAGGGUGAACGGCCACAUUGGGACUGAGACACGGCCCAAACUCCUACGGGAGGCAGCAGUGGGGAAUAUUGCACAAUGGGGGAAACCCUGAUGCAGCGACGCCGCGUGAGUGAUGAAGUAUUUCGGUAUGUAAAACUCUAUCAGCAGGGAAGAUAAUGACGGUACCUGACUAAGAAGCACCGGC
rnacentral:rRNA from 1 species